CUGGAGCUUCAAUCUGUCCAGAUUUAUUAGCUUUGGAAACAAACUCUGGGAGCCGUGCAACAGAUAACCAACCGAUCCCCUGGGCCAGGCCCUUCAUUUAAAGCAAGCAGCUGCAGCGGUGCUACGCUGCUGUAUGUCCAGUCUGAACAGCUUUAUUACCUUUUAAUCAACUCUUCCUACAGGCUACCUCUGCUCAGUGCUCUAAAGGCGGAAGGUGAGAGAAAACAAGACGAGGACAUCAAUUUCAGAGCAUUCAGAAACCAAGUAAUCACUUCAUUCCAAUAAAAAGGACUCUUGGAAGGGAAAUGAAGACUUGAAGCAAGUCUAUAGCCCACAUGUGGCUAUAUCUUAUUAAACAAGAAAUGGUUAUGUAUUGAACGGUCAGGAGGUAAUGGGUUGAACGCAGUAGCUAUACAACAUUUAUUUAAUUUGUAGGUGGAUUUGGCUAUCAUUGGCAUGAGUAAGC